UCUAAAGGGCACUCUAACAAACCCGCAGGUAUUGAAAUCAAGGAUUUGGAGAAGCAUAAAUGUGCCAUAUAUAUUAACACCGACAUACUGCACUGUGAUCUUGUCGUAUUUCUUAUUUCCUUGGUUCCAUAUAUCAUCACUUGAGUACCACUCUGAAGUUGGAGAAUAAGGUCUGGUUGCCACGUGAAAAGUGCACGAACACCUGUUUGUUUAGAGCCUAUAUCUCAAAAGGCUCUCAUAAAUGUGAGUUGGAAUUUCACCAAAUUCAUUUAAACAUAAGACUUAACUAUAUAUGUCUUUUUACUUCCAUGUUAACAUCAUCCCUUCAUAUUGCAUUGAAGGGUAAGUGUCUCUUUAUUUUGUAGAGCUGCACUCUUACUCAGGAGUUUUAGGUUAAGGGUUAUAUCACCUAAACACUGAGUUUUGUUGUUUGAGCAAUAUGCAAAUGUUGCAAAGAUGACCUCGUAUCAUACGCUAAUUUCAUAAUAUUUGAACCUUCCUUAUUCUAUUGUCUUACUAAUGAAUCAUAGUUGAAUUCGCUCAGGUGACUGAGUUAGGAACAUCAUUUCAUAACAUGUUUGUCAUGAAGUGACAUUUAAUGGGUUAAGUAAAUAUGUAUAAAUAUCAGCUCCAGCUCAUAAUAUCUAAUUGUCGUAGUUUAAAAGGGAAACACCUUGUAAAACAGGUUUAAAUUUAGCAUAUAACAUGGCAUGAUAAGUAACGCAGAGUGAGGUCAAAGUUUGUGAUAAACAAUAACUACAACAGUGUUGUAAGUGUAAAUGUUGUGUAAGUUUUGAACACUUGACAUAUCUCCUUCCCUAAAAUAAGAUAUUUUCUUUUCCCCCGAGACCUUCCCACAGUCUCUUCAGUGUACGUGUAUAUGUCAUGAGGUAAUUUGACAACUUAAAACACAAACCACAAUAAUUAGGUUUUAAACUUUAUUGUAAUUCCUCUGCCUAAAGUAGUCAAGAAAACAAAGCACUAAGGGGAUUGUUGAUCAGUUUUGUAACUAGAAUCUGAAUGAGUGGUUUAUUCCUAACUUAGACCUUGAUCUAAUAAGCUUUCUGAAUGAUUCAGUACUCUUAGAAAAACAUUCCAAAUGAUUUAGCUACAGAAGUCACCAUUAAAGUCUAUGAGAAUGUUUGCAGAUAAAUUAUGCAAUGUUCAAUGCAGGCAGCGCGCUUACAGCUCUAUUAAUGCAGCAGUCCCAAUAGGAAAGCAUUGAUAUAGUGCUUUCCCAUGAGCAAGCAUAAAUGUGUUCAUGAUGCGUGCCGUGCUUGCGCAUUAGGUACCUCUAUGAGCAGUGGUGAAUGAGCCUUGGCAUUGGAAAAAAGGUAAGUUAAAAACCCUCUAAAUGCCGAAUUGGGAGGGGUGAUCUAACACCACUAGGGUCAGGGACACUAUAGCAUUCGGAAUACAUGUUCAUAUUCCUGAAACUAUGUGGUCCUUUAAAUUGAGGCUUUAUUGUGUUUGAAUAAGGUACUCGAAAAUUCUAAAGCCCUAGUUAAUACUUGAAAAAAGAGAUGGAAGUUAUCAGAAAUCUAAUUUAAAUCGAAUAAUUUUAUUUUAAUGUUGUCAAGCCCUAUUGUUUAACCUUUUGAUCUUUUGUUUAAAAAAUACACAAAAAUACUCUGCUCUCAUGAAUAUCAAACAACUGCAAAUGCAACACGGAUUGAACUCCCCUCUCCCCCUCAAAAAAAAUCUUUGUUAAAUAUAUGUGUGACACAAGUUAUUAGUCAAUAUUAAUGGAGGACAAUGUGAGGUCCUGCAGCACGUAGACCAACUAUUCGAAUCCUUCUGGGCAAAGUUGGAUGCACACCUGGGGCCCACAGUGCUGAGCAACACAACCGGUACUGAGAGCUCACAGAAUUAGUCCAUACCGACAACGCUGUCGGCAACCUAUCUCAGGACAAGCAGUGUGUUUCCCAUCACACCACACUGGAGACCAAAGCUGUCAGAGAGAUCAUGGCAGACCCCAGUGAGUCUGCCAAAUACCAUACUGUGCCCACGUAUUAUGCCAUAUGUGAGCUACUAGUCCUGACAGCAGGACUUUUUUGGCGGGUGUCUAUGCGUACCCAACAGGGCAUAGGAUAAAACCAAAGCCCAGCACCAGAAUCCUCUGCAGGCAGCGCGCCUGUCCCGAAAAAGUUGAUGUACCCCACAAGGGAAUCUUGCUUUUCUUCCUCUAAGUUGGACUCACAGCUAGCUUGUCUCCUGGAGUUGUUUUCCUUGUUAGCUCAUCCAAGUGCAUUAAAUUUAUCCUUUAAUUACUCUAGUGUUAUACCUCGCAUGCAUUGUGGAUGCUCCUCUUCAGUUCACCCAACAGGUUUUCUAUGGGGUUCAAGUCAUGGGACUGGGAUGGUCAUGGCAGGACCUUGAUUUUUGUGGUCAGUAAACCAUUUUUCUGUUAAUUUUCGUGUAUGUUUUGCAUACAUGAGUUAAACACUGGUAACUUAAUAACAAUUCUCCCAUUGAAUUAGCCUUUCUUUUACUAGAAUCUAGCUCUCCUGACCUCCCAGGAAGUGUAAUCUAGCCAAGGAGUCCAGGUAGCAGUACAUUUGAUGAUCGGCGCACCCGGGCGCUUACAGUAAGUUGGGAUCAGGGACUUUGCGGCUGGAAGCAGGUGCUUGGUUAGAGACUUUUUAUAUGCCUUCAGGGGCAUACUGGUCUGGUGUAGGAGAAUG
rnacentral:lncRNA from 1 species